AGAACGAACGCUGGCGGCAUGCCUAAUACAUGCAAGUCGAACGGACUCUUCGGAGUUAGUGGCGGACGGGUGAGUAACACGUGGGAACGUGCCUUUAGGUUCGGAAUAGCUCCUGGAAACGGGUGGUAAUACCGAAUGUGCCCUUCGGGGGAAAGAUUUAUCGCCUUUAGAGCGGCCCGCGUCUGAUUAGCUUGUUGGUGAGGUAAUGGCUCACCAAGGCUACGAUCAGUAGCUGGUCUGAGAGGAUGACCAGCCACAUUGGGACUGAGACACGGCCCAAACUCCUACGGGAGGCAGCAGGUGGGGAAUCUUGCGCAAGUGGGG
rnacentral:rRNA from 1 species